GACGUAGGGUGCAGCGUUGUCCGGAUUUAUUGGGCGUAAAGAGCUCGUAGGCGGCUUGUUGCGUCGACUGUGAAAACCCGCGGCUACCACGCGGGCCUUGCAGCUGAUACGGGCAGGCUAGAGUUCGGUAGGGGAGACUGGAAUUCCUGGUGUAGCGGUGAAAUGCGCAGAUAUCAGGAGGAACACCGGUGCGAAGGCGGUCUCUGGGCCGAUACUGACGCUGAGACGAGAAGCGUGGGGAGCGAACAGG
rnacentral:rRNA from 1 species